UCGCGCGCAUGAUGAUAUAUACUUAAAAGCAUAGUUCACUCCGAAAUUAUCGUGUGGAACAACUUUUAGCAACGUCUUUCGCUCCUAUCUGAUCCCAUCC
rnacentral:snoRNA from 1 species